rnacentral:rRNA from 1 species
UACCAGCACCCCGAGUGGUCGGGACGAUUAUUGGGCCUAAAGCAUCCGUAGCCGGUCCUGCAAGUCUUCCGUUAAAUCCAGCUGCUCAACAGAUGGGCUGCGGGGGAUACUACAUGGCUAGGAGGCGGGAGAGGCAAGCGGUACUUUAUGGGUAGGGGUAAAAUCCGUUGAUCCAUAGAAGACCACCAGUGGCGAAGGCGGCUUGCCAGAACGCGCUCGACGGUGAGGGAUGAAAGCUGGGGGAGCAAAGCCGGG